AUUUUGCUUCAAUUUUAGCGUGCAAAUUGGGCAAAAUGGUUCUAGGGCACUUUUGGCACUAUUUUCAUUUUCGGUGGCUUGAAACCCGAUUGUAUCUCCUUCUCUCCUGUGAUUGAAACGAGUGAUAUCAAUUUUCGGUGGCUUGAAGAUAAACCCAUCUGCAUCUCUUUCUCUCUCGCGACUGAGAUUUCCAAACACGCAUUUUCGAUGGCUUGAACUCUUUCAAGAGACUAAGAAUCAUAUCAAAUGUCGAGUUUCUGCAAGAAUAAUUUCGAAACACCCAUAUUCUGUGGCUUGAAGUGCUUUCAAGAGAGUGAGAAUCAUAUCAAAUUUCGAGUUUCUUCAAGAAUACGGCGUCAAAGACAGGGGAAAAGCUAGCAUCCAACAUCUGGCUACAUAUCUACUGCACCUAACGUUGUUCACCCGAGAGAUGAUUGAAAAAGGUAUUGGUUUGCAUUGGUUUAAUGAUUUUGUAGUUUUUGGUGUAAGAUUUCUAAUGUUUUGCAAUACUAUGACUUCAUGACUCUAGUGUAAGAUUUAGGGGAUUUGUUGUGUGAUUAGCUUAGGUGGUUUUUAUUUACUUUUUUCAUUUCAGCCAUGGUUAUUGCACGCUGUUAAAUUUGAAUUAUCGUUAGAUAAAUUAUUUUAUUGUUGUACAUUAUUCGACAUUGUAAUUAAUUUGUUUGUUGGAGGGAAAGAAACUUUGGAAUAUGAAAAUAACAUUAUAUCGGUGGAGUCCGAUGAUGAAAAUGUUGUGGAUAAUAUGAGCAUACAGGGUGAUGAUAUGUUAGUUGGAGAUGGUGCGAUUGUGCCCGAGAUAGGUAUGAAAUUUAAGGAUGCAAAUGAAAUGUUCGAGUUUUACAAAAGAUAUGCAUACAAAAUUGGUUUCCCAGUUAGAAAGAAAAAUUCGAGAAAGGAUGAUGGAGUAUUGAGAAAUAUUACAUUUGUUUGUAGUCGUGAAGGGAAAAGAAUAAAAAAUACAAGCGGUUCUUUGAAGCCCUCAGCAACCAUUCAGAGUGGAUGUAAAGCCAGGAUCACUGAUGUUCAGAUAUUUGCGGAAUACGAAAAAUUAACACAGUAUACCUGGGUCACAAUCACAAUACAAGCCCUUCGAAAUCUAGGCUAUAUUGAUGCAACCGAGAGUUAAGUGCACAUGUGAAACGACGACUUGAAGUAAAUGACAUGACAGGAAUUUCGUUGCACAAGAGUUACAACUCUGCAGUUGUUGAAGCAGGGAGAUAUAGGAAUAUGACUUGCAUUGAAUGAGAUUGUUGAAACUAUGUCGAAAAAGUGAGACGAUUACGACUUGGAGAAGAGGCACAUCAGCAAUGCAAUCAUACUUCUCUAAAAUGCAAGCACGAUACUCGGGCUUUUACUUUAAUAUGGAUUUGGGUGACGAUUUGCGUCUAAAGAAUGUUUUCUAGGCAAAUAAUAAUAGGAGUAGGCAGGCAUAUAAAGAGUUCGAUGACGUUGUCACGUUCGACACCACGUAUCUCACUAAUAAAUAUGAUAUGCCAUUUGUCCCUUUUGUUGGAGUGAACCACCAUGGACAGUUGACACUCCUUGGAUGUGGUCUGGUAUUGAAUGAGGAUACAGAGACAUUUGUGUGCUAUUUUGGACAUGGCUGUAAUGUAUGUAUGGACAAGCUCCACAUGGGAUAAUUACAGAUCAGGAUAGGGUUAUGCAAAAUACAAUACACAUUGUGUUCUCCAAUACAAAGUAUAGAUGAUGCUUGUGGCACAUACUUAAAAAAUUGCUUGAGAAGUUUGGAUGCCAUGUGGAUAAGAGUUCCAUAUUUAGUACUCUACACGGUUUGGUCUAUGAUUGUCAAUUUGCGGAAGAAUUCAAAAACGACUGGAGAGUGAUGAUCGAAACAUUUAACUUGUAUGAUAAUGAAUGGCUGGCGGGUUUAUAUGAGAAUAGGGGACGUUGGGUACCUUGCUUUUUGAAAACUACAUUGUGGGCAACGAUGUCAACAACUCAACAUAGUGAGAGUAUGAAUGCAUUAUUUGAUGGUUAUGUACAUUCGAAGACGACAUUGAAGCAAUUUGUUGAACCAUACAAAUGAGCAUUGAGAAAUAAGGUUGAGAAAGAGUUUCAAGCGGACUAUCCUUCUCGCAAAUGGUGCCGUGUGCAACGAGAUAUGAAAUGGAGAAACAAUUCCAAGCAAUUUACACAAUUUCAAAAUUCAAGGAAGUUCAAGAAGAGUUCACAGGUAAGGUUUAUUGCGACCUCAUAUCUAUUUUGAAGGGACCAUCGGGGACGACUUAUGAGAUACGAGAGGAUGUAAUACAUGAUGAGCGUUCGAAGAAAAAAAACUUUUUCUUCUCAUUUCAAAGAGACGGAUGUGAAAUCACUUGCAGUUGUCACAAUUUUGAGUUUCGAGGGAUUAUUUGCAGACAUACGAUCACAGUAUUGAUUUGUAAUGAUAUCAAAUCUGUACCAGAAAGGUAUAUUAUAUGGAGAUGGCGAUGAGAUGUCAGUAGAGCCCACACGACGGUAACAGUGCAUUAUGAUGCUAUGGUUAGUAUUCCUAGACAACUGAGGUACAACAAAAUGUGGAACAUGAUGGCAGAUGAUGAAGUCAAAUCCAAUGUCAUAAUUGAGUGGAUCGAUAGUCAAUGUAAAGAAAUGAUGAUGUAGAAGUCAAAUAGUAAUAGUAAUAUCCUAUCCCCGCAUAUUACUCAGACAUCAUCCGAGUAUGGAGCAUCACUGGAUAUUGGAAGUGGUAGCAUCAGGGAUCCAGAAUGUGCGAAAAGAAAAUGUGCCCCUAGGAAACUUCAGAAGAAUAGCCCAUUGGAAUCAAGUAUGAACAGAGUUAAGCCAACUUCGAGUUCAACGAAGGGAAGAAAUCGAAGGUUCGUGCAAGUAAUAUGGGAACUGAUGCACCCAUCGUUUAGUUACCUCAACAAUUACACGUGCUGCUACCUUUCUCAAAUACACACUUCCUUAUGGGUGGCAACCAAAAUCUUCAAUUCACUCAACACUUGCAGUCCACAUGUAUCAACCCUCCAUCCUAACAAGUCUUCUAUUCAAUAUGCAAGGUUUGGCUAGAAGACAUAUGAAUGAUGCUGCUGACAAUGAAACACGACAGUUAAAUACAGAUGCACUUGCAAAAGUUGGACCUUCUAUAACAUCAUCAACCCCAAUAUAUGAGUUCUAGACAUGUAUCUGGACAUCUUCACGUUGGCUAAACACUGAGGGAUAGCUAAUCAAGAAUAUGGUUUUUGGUAUUUAUGUAAGUUGCUACAUAGUACAACUAAAGAAAUUAUUGUUUUCGGAUUCCAUCGAAAACAAUGCUUAAUCUGAUAAAAGUGGGUAAUUAUUAGGAAAGCGCUUACAUGUUUUCAAUAUGACAAGGCUGUGCUAUAACCGUAUGAUAAAAGUGGGUAAUUAUUUGCCAUCCUGGCGUUACCAUAUGAUAUGGAUGCACACAACUUGUGUUGCAGACUUUGGAGUGCACAAUGAUAAGCUUCAUUGUACCUAGACCUAAGUCAGAGUUUCUAAUAUUUUUGUUGGACAUCUAAUGCUGCUAAGUAUUUUUCUCCCCUCUUUUACAGAAUAAGAUUUUUAUUUGUAGGGUUAGAGUGAUUGGUUGUGGAUUGAAUUAAAUACUUGGCACGUACAUAUAAAGAGACUGGAGAACAUAUUAUUUUGAUAUACCCUUUGAUCCUUUCAGCUUCUGAUUGCAUUUGUUGCUUAGUUCGAAUUUGGAAUAGCUUAAUAAUUGAGUUUGUAUGAUCUCUUAGUUACGAAUUCAAUAAUGACAUCAGAUUACUUGAAGUUGAGUUUGUUUACUUCGGUUGGAAAUUCCAAAUCAGAUUACUUGAAGAAGUUGAGUAUGUUUACUUCUGUUCGAAAUUCCAAUGAA